rnacentral:lncRNA from 1 species
GGUUCUUGUUGAUUAGUGGAAGUUUUGGAUCGUUGUUGAUCGGUCCCGUGGUUUUCUCCCCAAUUUGGGGUUUCCACGUAAAUUGCUUGUGUCUAUUUUAUUUCCACUGUUUUACUGAAUUGUUGCUGCUGUGUAUCUGCUGCUGGAAAUUAUUUUGGAAGUUAUUGUGCCUUUGUCAUUCAUUGUGUUUAUUUGGGGAAAAAGAUUGUAUUGCGCUUCCGUUGUGUUUUUUUGUCGUUGCUUCCCCAACA